rnacentral:rRNA from 1 species
UACGUAGGGGGCAAGCGUUGUCCGGAAUCAUUGGGCGUAAAGAGCGCGUAGGCGGCCCUGUAAGUCCGCUGUGAAAGUCAAGGGCUCAACCCUUGAAUGCCGGUGGAUACUGCAGGGCUAGAGUCCGGAAGAGGCGAGUGGAAUUCCUGGUGUAGCGGUGAAAUGCGCAGAUAUCAGGAGGAACACCGGUGGCGAAGGCGGGUCUCUGGGAAGUAACUGACGCUGAUGAGCGAAAGCGUGGGGAGCAAACAGG